ACGCCCCCUCAGAAAUCCACUGGGGUUGGGAGCGCGUGGGAACUGAACUUGGUCGUCGAGUGUCCCGCGCCAAGUCUGCGCGACAGGUCCAAUCGCCCGGUGAAGGAAAGAAGCUGCCCGGGCGGGGCCGCGUUUGGCGACGGUCACUCCGCUACCCUUACCUCUCCCGCCUCUCCUCCGGGAUUUUCCAGCGGGUUAAUUUCCUGUUCGGGUAAAUCCUUCGCGAGUCCGUCGCCCCUCCCUCCCUGGUCCCCCGCUUCCCCACCUCCGCCCCGGCCUCUCGGGCUCCCCGCGUCGGUCCGCGCUGCGCUCCAUCGCCCCCGCGCUCCCGGGCGCACGCCCUCCCCGCGCCCGGCCUCCGGGGUCCCGCGCGCCGCCCAGCGCCAGGGCUCAGCCCCAGAGUCGCGUCCGCGUCGCCGCCGUUCGCGCGGGUCCAGGCCAUGCGCCCCCGCGCCGCCCCCCGCGCCCCCACCGGCGCCGCCGCCGCCGCCGCGGCGCUGGGGCUCUUUAGCUUCCUGCUGCUGCUCCGGCCCGGACACGCGUGCCCCGCGGGCUGCGCCUGCACCGACCCGCACACCGUGGACUGCCGCGACCGUGGACUGCCCAGCGUGCCAGAUCCCUUCCCCCUGGACGUGCGCAAACUGCUGGUGGCUGGUAACCGCAUCCAGCACAUCCCCGAGGACUUUUUCAUCUUCUACGGCGACCUGGUCUAUCUGGACUUCAGGAACAACUCGCUGCGCUCGCUGGAGGAGGGUACGUUCAGCGGCUCGGCCAAGCUCGCCUUCCUCGACCUCAGCUACAACAACCUGACCCAGCUGGGCGCCGGCGCCUUCCGCUCGGCCGGGAGGCUGGUCAAGCUGAGCCUGGCCAACAACAACCUGGCGGGUGUGCACGAGGCCGCCUUCGAGACCCUGGAGUCGCUGCAGGUGCUGGAGCUCAACGACAACAACCUGCGCAGCCUCAGCGUGGCCGCCCUGGCCGCGCUCCCCGCGCUGCGCACCCUGCGCCUCGACGGGAACCCCUGGCUCUGCGACUGCGACUUCGCCCACCUCUUCUCCUGGAUCCAGGAGAACGUGUCCAAGCUGCCCAAAGGCCUGGACGAAAUCCAGUGCUCCCUGCCCAUGGAGAACAGGAGGAUAUUCCUGCACGAGCUGUCGGAGGCCAGCUUCAGCGAGUGCAAGUUCAGCCUCUCGCUCACAGACCUGUUUGUCAUCAUCUUCUCCGGCGUGGCCGUGUCCAUCGCUGCCAUCAUCUCCAGCUUCUUUCUGGCCACCGUGGUGCAGUGCUUCCAGAGGUGUGCCCCCAACAAGGACACCGAGGACGAAGACGAGGAUGAGGACGACUGAGCCACCCCCAACCCUUCCUCACUCUCCUGAUCCCCAGCCGGUGGCUCCCCUCUGAGAAGAGAGGGAAAUGCUGAAAGGGAGGAGAACGGACCAUCAGUGACCGGAGGAGCGCAUGCUCCGAGCCUGGCCCCUGGGUGCAUCUGGUGAGACCUCCGAUCUCGGAGUUUAGAAUCCGUAGAGUGGAGGAGUCGAGGAAGGAUUCCCAGAGAAGAGCCUGCCUCGUGGCUUGAGAUGUGUGUGCCGGGCGAAGAUGGCUGAGUCAGGCUUUGGAGCUGACAGCUGAGAAUCGCGUAGGGGAUGUGAAGACUGGAAGGCCUGACCUGCAAAGAUGACUUUGUCCUAUCCAAUUCUCCUACUUGGACUGGGAGACCAGGCAGCCUCUCCUUCAUCCCCAGAGGCAGCAGCCCAGAUGGUGGGGACUGGAAUUCAAGUCCUGGGAGCAGGAUUUCUGUUCCUGAAAUAGGCUUCAGCCACCUUGAGAUGUUAUAUAGAGAACAACCCGUGUCUGGCUAAAGUGGCACUGAGGAAAAAGCUAACACCUGGACAAAGGGUGUUUGUCAUUCUGUUUUUUUGAGUGGGUCAGGAAAACUUUGUCAACAGAACUCAAACCCUCAUGGUUAUCCUGAGAUUGCUGUUGUUGUUUAGACACUUGGUGGUGUCAACUCUUUGUGUCCCUGUGGACUGUAGCCCACCAGCCUCCAGUCUAUGGGAUUUCUUAGGGAAGACUACUGGAGUGGGUUGUCAUAUCCUCCUCUGAUUCAUAAAGGAAGGACAGCCGAUUCAUACCUUUGCGAUGGCCUCUGCUCAGAGUCUUCCCUCUAAAGUAUAGCCAGGUGGUUCCCACUUGCCCUGACACCUCCCCCAACCGUGAGUCCCACCUCUGCUGAAUAUCACCUGUUCAUUCUGUGCCGGCACCAUUCCAGACUUGUCAUCUCCAGAACUUGAAAUAAACUUUCCUGGAGGCCAGGAUUCCAAAAAACAGGUUACCUUGGACCAAAGAAAUGUUAAAAAAAAAGAAAAAAAAAAACACCAAAAAAAAAACAACAAAAAAAAAAGCCGUGGGACUUGGCUUCUGAAAAACCUACAUCAGUGACCUUAGGGUGUGUGUGACAUUUCUUUGGAGCAUAGGCUGUGACAGGCAGUGUUUUCCAGGAUGUGGAAUGCAGUGCUGUGAUUCAGAGAUGAUAUGAAACAAUGUCAUACGCCCGGCAGGUUGAUGCAAAGUGAUGGGUGUUAGCAUCAUCGGACCUUGCUGGGGACUGGCACUUAGACAGGGGACUGACAUGCCUUGCACGGAGUGGAGCACACUUCGAGUUGUCAGAUGUUUGUGUUCCCAGCUGUGGCCAAACAAGGUGACACCCUGGGCUUCCAUGCUGCACAC